rnacentral:rRNA from 1 species
AGUGAACGCUGGCGGUAGGCCUAACACAUGCAAGUCGAACGGCAGCACAGUAAGAGCUUGCUCUUACGGGUGGCGAGUGGCGGACGGGUGAGGAAUACAUCGGAAUCUACUUUUUCGUGGGGGAUAACGUAGGGAAACUUACGCUAAUACCGCAUACGACCUACGGGUGAAAGCAGGGGAUCUUCGGACCUUGCGCGAUUGAAUGAGCCGAUGUCGGAUUAGCUAGUUGGCGGGGUAAAGGCCCACCAAGGCGACGAUCCGUAGCUGGUCUGAGAGGAUGAUCAGCCACACUGGAACUGAGACACGGUCCAGGCUCCUAGGGGAGGCAGCAGUGGGGAAUAUUGGACGAUGGGGGCAAGCCUGGUCCAGCCAUACCGCGUGGGUGAAGAAGGCCUUCGGGUUGUAAAGCCCUUUUGUUGGGAAAGAAAAGCAGCAGGUUAAUACCCCGCUGUUCUGACGGUACCGAAAGAAUAAGCACCGGCUAACUUCGUG